GUUUCGGAUUAUUGGGCGUAAGCGCGCGUAGGCGGUUUUUUAAGUCUGAUGUGAAAGCCCACGGCUCAACCGUGGAGGGUCAUUGGAAACUGGAAAACUUGAGUGCAGAAGAGGAAAGUGGAAUUCCAUGUGUAGCGGUGAAAUGCGCAGAGAUAUGGAGGAACACCAGUGGCGAAGGCGACUUUCUGGUCUGUAACUGACGCUGAUGUGCGAAAGCGUGGGGAUCAAACAGGAUUAGAUACCCCAGU
rnacentral:rRNA from 1 species